GAAUCUGGAAUGUUUAUUUUUAGUGAGACUGAAAGCUAAUAGGCAGCUGCCAGCAGUGGAGUGACAGGAUAGAGAAACAACUGUAGAGGAGCAAGAGAUGAUGGUGACUCAGACCAAAGUGGAAGCAGUGGAGGUGAGGAGAGCUGGUCAAAUUCCAGGUAUAUAUUCAAAGUAGGGCCAUUUGUGGUGAUGCAGCUAUAUGGAAUCAAAAGAAAAUCGAAGACAACUCCGGGGUUUUCUUUUAAUCUAAGCAGAAAUUAGACCCCAUUUGUCACUCCAUACAAAAAUCAACUCAAAAUGGAUCAAAGACCUAAAUGUAAGACCAGGAACUAUGAAAUAAUUAAAAAGAAAACAUAGGGAAAGUGUUUUAGGACAUUGGUCUGGGAAGAGAUUUUUAUGAAUAAGACCUCAAAAGCACAGGCUACAAAAGCAAAACAAACAGAAAGAAAUGAGAUUAUAUAAAACUACAAAACAUCUGCACAUCAAAGAAAACAACCAACAAAGUGAAAAGACAACCUACGGAAUGGAAGCAAAUAUUUGCAAACUAUUCAUUCAACAGGGGAUUAACAUCCAGAAUAUACAAGGAACUCAAACAUCUCAACAGCAAAAAAAACAAAAAAUCCAAUUAAAACAUGGACAAAUGGUCUGAACAGACGUUUCUCAAAAGAAGACAUACAAAUGGCCAACAGAUAUCAUUUCACCCUAGUUAGGAUGGUUAUUAUCAAAAAGACAAACAAUAACAAAUGCUGGAAUCAUGGUAAUUGUCUUGCGCAAAGUAUCUUCCUUUAAUAUGGCAGAAAUAUUAGUGUGAAAGACAGAGGACUCUGAAAAGCAGGAGCAGGAAAUUUAAGAAAAACAGCAAAAGCAGACAUGAAGCUGAAGAACCACAGAGGAGCCAAAUUACAGGCAGUACCUGAAACACAUUCAUCACAGUCAAAAGGAAGUGAAGAGACACAGAAGGGAAGCAAGAUACUGAGAUGCUGCCAAGUAUCCCAGAGUCCAUGAUGGAGUAGAGAUGAAACAAUAGACCCAGGUCAUUCCUCUGCUGGAGGUUCUGAGGCAAGCAGUAGUGCUCUGCAGAUGAACAUUCAUGACAACUUGCCUUUCAACUGGAGGUGUGUGACAGCCAGAAAAAUACCAUCGAGGUAAAGCUUUUUUCUCCUAGAGGAGCAACUGACUCACCGCAGCAUGUUGUUAUGUGGACCUCGAGUCUGUGGACUAGUGACCUUCACCUCCUUCAGUGUGUGGGUCUGUCCAGGGCUUCCAUCCCUCCAGUAAGAACCCUAACCCACAUUCCUGCAUUUGAUAACUUUGAGUUAAAUCAAGAAAAGCUUGGAAAUUUGGACAUAGUUGUUUAUAAGUCACUCAUAUUAUCUAUUAAAGUCUAAAAAUGUUGUAGUCCGGGCCUCUGAAGGGACUGCCUCUCCAAGGAGC
rnacentral:lncRNA from 10 species